UGGGGAAUAUUGGGCAAUGGGGGAAACCCUGACCCAGCAACGCCGCGUGAAGGAAGAAGGCUUUCGGGUUGUAAACUUCUUUUAUGAGGGACGAAGGACGUGACGGUACCUCAUGAAUAAGCCACGGCUAACUACGUGCCAGCAGCCGCGGUAAUACGUAGGUGGCAAGCGUUGUCCGGAUUUACUGGGUGUAAAGGGCGCGUAGGCGGGAAGGCAAGUCAGAUGUGAAAUCCCCAGGCUUAACCUGGGAACUGCAUUUGAAACUGUUUUUCUUGAGUGAUGGAGAGGCAAGCGGAAUUCCUAGUGUAGCGGUGAAAUGCGUAGAUAUUAGGAGGAACACCAGUGGCGAAGGCGGCUUGCUGGACAUUAACUGACGCUGAUGCGCGAAAGCGUGGGGAGCAAACAGG
rnacentral:rRNA from 1 species